CAGUCGCCGCGGUAAUACGGAGGGGGCUAGCGUUGUUCGGAAUUACUGGGCGUAAAGCGCACGUAGGCGGCUUGGUAAGUUAGAGGUGAAAGCCCGGAGCUCAACUCCGGAAUUGCCUUUAAGACUGCCGAGCUAGUAGGUGAGAGAGGUAGGUGGAAUUCCGAGUGUAGAGGUGAAAUUCGUAGAUAUUCGGAAGAACACCAGUGGCGAAGGCGGCUUACUGGCUCAUUCUAGACGCUGAGGUGCGAAAGCGUGGGGAGCAAACAGGAUUAGAUACCCCAGUAGUCCCUGUCUCUUAUAC
rnacentral:rRNA from 1 species